rnacentral:rRNA from 1 species
AUUGAACGCUGGCGGCAGGCUUAACACAUGCAAGUCGAGCGGAGAUGAGGUGCUUGCACCUUAUCUUAGCGGCGGACGGGUGAGUAAUGCUUAGGAAUCUGCCUAUUAGUGGGGGACAACAUUCCGAAAGGAAUGCUAAUACCGCAUACGCCCUACGGGGGAAAGCAGGGGAUCUUCGGACCUUGCGCUAAUAGAUGAGCCUAAGUCGGAUUAGCUAGUUGGUGGGGUAAAGGCCUACCAAGGCGACGGUCUGUAGCUGGUCUGAGAGGAUGAUCCGCCACACUGGGACUGAGACACGGCCCAGACUCCUACGGGAGGCAGCAGUGGGGAAUAUUGGACAAUGGGCGGAAGCCUGAUCCAGCCAUGCCGCGUGUGUGAAGAAGGCCUUUUGGUUGUAAAGCACUUUAAGCGAGGAGGAGGCUACCUGGAUUAAUACUCUAGGAUAGUGGACGUUACUCGCAGAAUAAGCACCGGCUAACUCUGUGCCAGCCGCCGCAGUAAUAC